AUUGAACGCUGGCGGCAGGCCUAACACAUGCAAGUCGAGCGGAUGAAGGGAGCUUGCUCCUGGAUUCAGCGGCGGACGGGUGAGUAAUGCCUAGGAAUCUGCCUGGUAGUGGGGGAUAGCGUCCGGAAACGGGCGCUAAUACCGCAUACGUCCUGAGGGAGAAAGUGGGGGAUCUUCGGACCUCACGCUAUCAGAUGGGCCUAGGUCGGAUUAGCUAGUUGGUGGGGUAAAGGCCUACCAAGGCGACGAUCCGUAACUGGUCUGAGAGGAUGAUCAGUCACACUGGAACUGAGACACGGUCCAGACUCCUACGGGAGGCAGCAGUGGGGAAUAUUGGACAAUGGGCGAAAGCCUGAUCCAGCCAUGCCGCGUGUGUGAAGAAGGUCUUCGGAUUGUAAAGCACUUUAAGUUGGGAGGAAGGGCAGUAAGUUAAUACCUUGCUGUUUUGACGUUACCAACAGAAUAAGCACCGGCUAACUUCGUG
rnacentral:rRNA from 1 species